GACGAACGCUGGCGGCGUGCUUAACACAUGCAAGUCGAGCGGUAAGGCCUCUUCGGGGGUACACGAGCGGCGAACGGGUGAGUAACACGUGGGUAAUCUGCCCUUCACUUCGGGAUAACCAUCGGAAACGGUGGCUAAUACCGGAUAUGACUCGUCCCUGCAUGGGGGUGGGUGGAACGUUUUUGCGGUGGAGGAUGUGCUCGCGGCCUAUCAGCUUGUUGGUGAGGUAACGGCUCAGCAAGGCUUCGACGGGUAGGCGGGCUGAGAGGGUGACCGGCCACACUGGGACUGAGACACGGCCCAGACUCCUACGGGAGGCAGCAGUGGGGAAUAUUGGACAAUGGGCGGAAGCCUGAUCCAGCAACGCCGCGUGAGGGAUGACGGCCUUCGGGUUGUAAACCUCUUUCAGCUCCGACGAAGCGCCCGUGAGGGUGGUGACGGUAGGUGCAGAAGAAGGACCGGCCAACUACGUGCCAGCCGCCGCAGUAAAAC
rnacentral:rRNA from 1 species